UACGGAGGGUGCAAGCGUUAAUCGGAAUUACUGGGCGUAAAGCGUGCGUAGGCGGUUCGUUAAGUCUGUUGUGAAAGCCCCGGGCUCAACCUGGGAAUGGCAAUGGAUACUGGCGAGCUAGAGUGUGUCAGAGGAUGGUGGAAUUCCGGUGUAGCGGUGAAAUGCGCAGAUAUCGGGAGGAACACCAGUAGCGAAGGCGACACUCGUGGGCCG
rnacentral:rRNA from 1 species